CCCGCUGAACUUAAGCAUAUCAAUAAGCGGAGGAAAAGAAACUAACAAGGAUUCCCCUAGUAACGGCGAGUGAAGCGGGAUGAGCUCAAAUUUAAAAUCUGGUAGUCUUUGGCUGCCCGAGUUGUAAUCUAGAGAAGUGUUUUCCGCGCUGGACUGUGUACAAGUUUCCUGGAUAUGGAACAUCAUAGAGGGUGAGAAUCCCGUCCUUGACACAGACUCCCAGUGCUUUGUGAUGCGCUCUCAACGAGUCGAGUUGUUUGGGAUUGCAGCUCAAAAUGGGUGGUAAAUUUCAUCUAAAGCUAAAUAUUGGCCAGAGACCGAUAGCGCACAAGUAGAGUGAUCGAAAGAUGAAAAGCACUUUGAAAAGAGAGUUAAACAGUAUGUGAAAUUGUUGAAAGGGAAGCGCUUACAACCAGACUUGCGCGCGGCGGUUCCCCCUUCCUUUUGGUUGGGCUACUCCGUCGUGUCCAGGCCAACAUCGGUUCUGGGGGUCGGUUAAAGACCCUGGGAAUGUAUCUACCCUUCGGGCGUAGACUUAUAGCUCAGGGUGUCAUGCGACCUCCCGGGACCGAGGAACGCGCUUCGGCUCGGAUGUUGGCGUAAUGGUUGUCAGCGACCCGUCUUGAAACACGG
rnacentral:rRNA from 1 species